rnacentral:misc_RNA from 1 species
CCGGCCAACCGCGCUUGCUCGACGCCCUCCGGAGCCAAUCCGAACUCUGGGAGUGUUCCAUUUUCCAUGGAAGAGACGAUGAGGCCCUUCGCGUUGGGGACGCUCCUGCCGUGCCUCAGAAUCCAGUAGCUGUUGCGAAGGAAUGGCGAUCCCUCGGCCAUCUCUGCACAACCGAGGGGGAGGAAGCGAGUGAUAAAUGGGGAAGAAGCGG